rnacentral:rRNA from 1 species
UACGGGGGGGGGCAAGCGUUGUUCGGAAUUACUGGGCGUAAAGGGCGCGUAGGCGGCCUGCUAAGUCGGACGUGAAAUCCCCCGGCUCAACCGGGGAACUGCGUCCGAUACUGGAUGGCUAGAGUCCGGAAGAGGAAAGUGGAAUUCCUGGUGUAGCGGUGAAAUGCGCAGAUAUCAGGAAGAACACCAAUGGCGAAAGCAGCUUUCUGGGACGGUACUGACGCUGAGACGCGAAAGCGUGGGGAGCGAACAGG